GAGCAGAAAGUUCCCGUCGCCGACGUUAUGUUGGUCCGUAGGCUAGAGUGCCACCGUCACCGGCGGUGUUUGUCCGUCCAAUGUUCCGCGUUCUCUAGAAUCCCCAAUUCUGGCAUAGCAACUGGAUUUUAGGCCACCGUUCGUCGGAGCUCAAGAUCAUCGCAUGCCUUCUGGACUUUGGGGGUUUUCACUGUGGCCAGUCAAUAACGGUUAGGCUUUCUUGGCCUGAGAUGUUGGUUGUUGCCGGCGUCCGUUCAAGGGCACUUAUGGUGUCGAUGAUGGCUAGGGUUUCCUAUGCUGAGACUCUAACAGACUUUGAUGGGUGGUGAUUGCUUUUAUCUACGAUUAUCGAUGACUAUGGGUGUCUUCAUAUGAGAUGUUCUUGAUUUGAAUUUUGAAACCGUGAGUUCGCUUAUCUGUUUUCUUUGUUGGCUAGGAUUUCUGAAGACCACGUAUAUUGUAUA
rnacentral:lncRNA from 1 species